AUUUUAUUUCUGUAAAGAGCAAGGAUUAUGUGUAUCCCUUGAGUGAACCAGGACGCUGCCCCAAGGCUGCAAUGUGGUUUCUCGGCCGCUUCUCCCUCGUCCCUGCCUCCCUCCCUUCCCUGAUUAGGAACUGUUUGAAAGCUUUCAUGGCUAGGUGUCCCACAGGGUCCUGCUUAGUUUCAAAGACAGAAAUCAUUUCCCCUUAUGGGCCCUUCAGGCUUCCCUGGUGGCUCAGAUGGUAAAGAAUCUGCCUGCAAUGCGAGAGACCUGGGUUCAUUCCCUGGGUUGGGAAGAUCCCCUGGAGAAGGUUAUAGCCGUCCACUCCAGUAUUCUUGCCUGGAGACUCCCAUGGACAGAGGAGCCUGGCAGGCUGCAGUCCACAGGGUCACAGAGGGUCAGACACGACUGAGCGACUUUCACUACGGGUCCUUCUCACCUCGUCCCCCUCUGCCUCCUUGGUUCCAGCUGGCAAAUGCUGAUUCUCAGGAGGGAACCCAGAGCUUACAAUCAGAUUCCCAGGAAGGGGAUAUGCUUCUGUCAGUGGAUCAUGCUGUGCUAGAAGCUGCAACCACAGCGUGGUCAGUCUGAGCUCCUCCUGCCAGUGGACCAGCAAGCAGAGACUCUGUUGAGAAACAACGGCGGUGGACACAGCAGCUGAAAAUCACAUUGCAGCUGAUCACCAGCAUUGAGAAUGGUUCAAGACAAGUGGGCAUGGGGACACAGCUGCGGGGCUGGCUUCCUGAGUCUGGAUCCCUGGAUCCUGCAUCACGGUUGUGGGUCUUGAACUCAACAGUGACAGCCUCUGGGGACAGCUCCAUUGAUAGGUCAGCUCCACUGAUAGGUCAGCUCCAGGGUCCUGGACCCCGACUGAAGCCCACAUGGUUCCAGAUCUUCUUGGAGAUGUUCAGGCACUUAAUCCCAUGUCUUCAAUCCCUUUUCUUGCACAGAACCUGGCUGAUACAUGUUUCUUCACCACCCCUGCCAGCCCUUCAGCAACCAACCCCCUUCUCCACACAUCCAGUAAGGACUGUCCCUUGCCAGCAAGAACACUCAUCCCACCAUUGAGGCUGAGUCUUGGUGCAGAACCCUGCUCAAUUUGUCACUUUGCUUCAGUGAUUUCUAUGAAUUUAUCUUCACCUGUUCACAAAUAAGAACGUUCAGUCUCACGGACCAUGUUGGAUGGUUUCAUCACAAACUUAUUCAGUCUCGAGGAAGCCUCAGAUACUUAAUUGGGUAACUCAUCUCCUUCUGGAUAUUCUGAGAUCCUGAAGGCUUUCUGCAGAGGUAGGAAGUUCCCAGAAGUCCCACACCCUGCUUUCUAACUCGGAGGUCAGCAGGUUGCCAACUCUCCCAUCCGAGCCCUCAGAAGCCAAAGUUAGAUCCUGUCUUCAACUCCCUGGUGUCCUAGGAGUCAGGGGACGGGGUAGUUUGUGUGUCUCCUGGGGAAGAUCUUGUUUGUCCCCAAGAGGAGGAGAAGUGAAGGUCUGAGUCAUUGGACCCCCUCCCCCAGUGCAGGAGUGGUCCUCACUGAUGUGACCGGCUGGCCCAAGGAGUGAGCCUGGAACCACAGGAACCCUGGGCUUCAGUCAUGGGCAGAGCCACCAGGCGUGACCAUCAAUGCCGUUACAGAGAGCAGAGCAGAGCAGAGUCUGAGAGAGGGACUGAUUCAGGUCACACCUGAGUCAGCAGGAGGACAGCAGCCUGGAGUGCCUGACCCCAGCUCGUCAACUACCCUUUCCUCCACACAGCCCCGGAGAAAGGCAUCUCUCCUGGAGAGUAGGGCUGGGACACAGCCAUCAUGAGGAGAGCUGGAGCAUGAGUGAGCUGGUAAAGGUCCCUGCGCCUCUUCAGGGAGAUCAGGUGCAUCCAUCAGGGUCCUGAUGGUAAACAGAUGGCACCUCCAAUCAGGUCAUUUGAGGAGAUUGAAAUAAAGGGACACUUACAAAGCUGCA
ensembl:lncRNA